GUUAGGAUCUCGCUAAAGAGGUAAUUUUUCUCAACAUAGCAACCCUUAAUUGUUGACUUGAUCUAUUACUAAUGUGAUAAUAGCAGCAAAACAUACUUUUGUAACAUGAUGCGCUGUUUAAUAUGGGUUAAAAGAUAGUCCAACCACAGACAGUCGUGCGGUGACAAGAGAAAUUCACAGCCAAUGAUAUCAAAGCUGAACAGCGGCGUCACACUUCCUUAACCAUUUAUGGUCAUUUAUAACAAAUGUCUUCCGUUUUUCGGCUGAAGGGAUAGAUUGGUUAACAAUCAAUCAAAUUUGCUACCUAUUAGAUUGUGUUUUAUUAACGUCUACACCUUCCUCCAACAAUAAUGCAAAUGCUCUAAUUAUUGUUGUUCAGCUUGACAAAAAUUGGCCAAUAUUGAUGUGCACAUGCCCAGCAGUCGCAGUUGGAUCCCAUCUAACCGAUUCCUCUCGUUAAAUAUCAUUUUUUUUUUUUGUCUGUAGCCCUCCCGCCGGGUAGAAUCUUAUGGCUCACAAGUUAGAAAUCUAUCUAGGGGAUCUUGAAUUUACCCACUACCCCGGUAAAGGCACAUUCUCUUCAGUCACAGUACAACUAUAACCCAGAUUGUCAGAUUUUUGUUUCUUCUUCUUUUUCUGAAAAUAAUAAAUGAAUAAACCACUACUGUGUUUCCCUUUAGAUAAAAAAAAAAAACUAUUAACAAAUCAAUUAUAUCCACGGAAAAUCACACAAAAUUAUGGCCGAUCAAUAAACAUGUAUUUAUUCUUCUCCGGAACUCUUUUUUUUUCUUUUUGGUUUCUCUUUGAAUUUCCAAAUAAUUCAAUUUACAGAGUCACAACAAUGAAUCAACAUAUCCUCAAAAAAAAAAAAAAUGUCAAUGCAAUAAUCAAAAUUUACCCAGCUGGGAUUUUCAGUACACAGAUGGCGCGCUAGUUGGAGCUCUUUGAUGCAAAACCAGAGUACUCACGAAUCAGGACAACAAGAAUUCCAGUUGUAGAGUAGGAACCUCAAAUCCUUACUCCUCGCCGAGAUGAUAACCAGCAUCCAUGAUGACACAUCCCACGACGACGCUUGAGUGGAUCUCCAUGAACUCCUCCCUCCUCGAACUGGUUAGAUGCAGCCGCGAAAAUCAAUAUAAAUCUCCCGAUUUCGACGAUCUCUCAGUGUUAAAGAAAAAUAAACACACCCUUGACGUGCACUCUCAACUAGAUAAACCACUGCAAAGCUUAUUCCCACAAUAAACCAAAACCACGGGUAUUUUUCUUCCGGAUUUCACACGACUUAAACAACUUAUUAUAACUUAACUGCCACUCUGCACUCAAGAAAAAUUAAACUCGGGAAUAUUCUUCCGGGUGAUUUCACAAUCUAAAGCUAAUAAAACAAAUCACCGUAAAGACAUAAAAAAAUAAAAACACGGAAUCUCUCACGUGUGAUCCUCGUGCUAGAUCUCCUCCUCAUGCGAAACGAAAAAAAACAAAUUCUCUCGCCGAACUCUCUCGAAAUCUUCGUUUUUUCGUGCUGCAAACUGACUCGUGACACUUUCACAGUUCACACCAAUCUCUCGCGCAAACUUUCAUCACCAAACGGCAUUUAAAAAAAAUGUCCUUGAACAUUGAUUUCUCUCAGCUGUCCGGCGAACUGCAGCUCAUCCGCCAGAGAGAGCGAGAGGGAAGGCCAACCAAAAAAAACCCUGAGUUUUCUCUCUAAACCCCUGCACCUCGAACUUUCUCAGAGGUCAAAGUACACAGUUCUCAUCGUCAGACUGACGCUCUCAGAAAACACAAUUAAAUGAAACCAUUUAUAAUUUGUUUUCAUUUACACCCACAUAUUUGGAAAAAACUUUUAUAAACAUGUCUCAUAUGAACAUGAGAGAGAAAAAAACUAAAGUCCAUCAACACUUUGUUUGCGUAUGAAUACCAUUUAGUCCAAAUACAAAUAAUUAAAUUAUCUUAUUUAUAAACAAAAUAAAUGACAGGUAUACAUUUAGAAAACCCAAAACAUUUUUCCUAGGUCUCUACAUGUCCAAAGACAAGUGCAUUAACUAAUCAAAUGAUGAGCUUCUAACAUUUACAUUGUAUGUUACGUUGUGUUUUAAAGUUAUAAAAUUAUUCACUUUUGUGUUUCUGUGAUUUGCCAUGCUCUAACAUUUGAACUCUAGCAAUAAAAACAGAAAGAAAAAACUAAUUCAAAGACAAAAUGCCCAAAUUACUGCACUGCAUCCUCUGUCACCAAGCUCGUUUUUGCCACUAUGAAGAAUAAAAAGGCAGUUAUGUUGUAAACGUUAACUAUUUUCAUUAUGCAAAUACUUUUAUUAAAAAACAAAACAGUAAAUACAGUAUAUACAGAUACAGUCUUUCAGAGAACACUGGAAAAAUCAAUUUUCUUAAAAGUUAAAUUGACCAAAAAGUGAUACAACACACUGUUUCAAACUCAGAAAAUAACACCAUGAAGACAUGCAUGUCAAGUGUGCAAUAUUAUCUAUAAAACUCUAUCAGCACAGCAUCAAAUAAACAUUGAUUGUCCGAACAAUGGAAGAAAAAUAAAGUGUUCAGGAAAACAAACACCUGCUACAUAAAAAUGCAGAAAUAUAAAUCUGACAAUAACAUCAUUCGCUUCAUGACUGGAACUAGGGGAUGGCUGUGCAUGAAUAUGUCCUUUACUAAAACUCCUGAUGAGAACUGAUGCUUUUUUAUGAUAAAAGCACCAGAAGUAAAGUUUACUGUAUGAAGCUUGAAAAAGAGAACACAAUGCUUUAUCAAUACGAAAAUACUAUUUUCAACUAUUGUUUUCAUCACUGGUUCUGUAUACAGUAUAUGGGCUGCUGGAAGGUCAAAAUGUAUUCAUUAUAAGCUUAUAAUUAAAACAAAGUUGCAUUUUCUGCAAAAAUCAAACCACUGCAAAGUCUAAACACUGAUCCAGGGACCAUUUCUGUGUGUGUGGGGGAUAAAGAGUUAAAGAGGUGAGUCCUUGUGCAUGAUGGAGUACAGCGUUAUCUGCAAACAAUCCUGUAAGACAGAAAGGAAGGAAAUAUUAUUACAUUACAUGCAACUUUUUCUUUUAGACCAUAAAAGCAGCCUCUGUAAAGAUGCUGUAUAAUUAAAUGUUAAAUGCAUCUAUUAUUAAAAGCAAGUCAGUAAUAGCAAGCUAUAUUCAUACGAAUUAUUUUAAAAAUGAUUACAUGCUUAAAGGACUGUUAUCAGUAGUGUAAUUGAUCUGGUCACGGAAACCUUUCCAAUGUAUGUGAAAUAUUAAUAAUAAUAAUAAUAAUUAGAUAUUGAAAAUAAUUUGGUAGUAAAACAAAG
ensembl:lncRNA